AUUGAACGCUGGCGGCAUGCCUUACACAUGCAAGUCGAACGGUAACAGGUUAAGCUGACGAGUGGCGAACGGGUGAGUAAUACAUCGGAACGUGCCCAGUAGUGGGGGAUAGCCCGGCGAAAGCCGGAUUAAUACCGCAUACGACCUAAGGGUGAAAGGGGGGGAUCGCAAGACCUCUCGCUAUUGGAGCGGCCGAUGUCAGAUUAGCUAGUUGGUGGGGUAAAAGCUCACCAAGGCGACGAUCUGUAGCUGGUCUGAGAGGACGACCAGCCACACUGGGACUGAGACACGGCCCAGACGCCUACGGGAGGCAGCAGUGGGGAAUUUUGGACAAUGGGCGCAAGCCUGAUCCAGCCAUGCCGCGUGCGGGAAGAAGGCCUUCGGGUUGUAAACCGCUUUUGUCAGGGAAGAAAUCCUUUGGGUUAAUACCUCGGGGGGAUGACGGUACCUGAAGAAUAAGCACCGGCUAACUACGUGCCAGCCGCCGCAGUAACAC
rnacentral:rRNA from 1 species